CCUCAGAGCUCAGGGUGAGCGCGGGGCCUUGAAGCGGCUGUAAAGCACUUUAGAACACAUCCAGAUGUUCUAAAUGGGCUAUACCCAAUACAGUCCUCCUACCUUGUCGUCUUCAUGGCUUAAUACUUCCUUUCAUUAGGUCCAGUUGCAGCCCAUGCUGAAGUGCUCCCACAGGCCUUAAACCAUAGGCCUUAAACCUUUAAACCCCAUCUCUUGGCUCUAUAAGACAUUCCUACCCUUAUCACCUCCUUGUGGUGUGAUGUCCGGCUUAUCUCAAAGAACAGCGUGUCAUUAAGGGGGAGGAACAAAACCUUCAGCUACGGAGCAAACUUGUCUGGAACCCAAGUGAGAUUUGGGGUCUGACGGCCGCCUCGCACGUGACAGCUGGGUGCGGAGCUGGGCUGCCUGCUGGCUCUGGGAGAAAGUUGCACGAACGUUUCUUGUCGGCUUCCAUCUGCAAAGCCAGAUUUGAAGAAGAAAAAACUUGCGUCGGGCUGCACAACUCAGGCUUCAAACAACAAACCCAGCCAGCUCUUCUUCUUUAGGCUGACGGUUGGACUUGGUGAGUUUUGCGGUCUUUUCCAAUCUUUGUGAUUCUAUGGCUGUAUAAUUCUAUCAUUCCUGUAGCACUGAGGCUUAUUUGCAUCAAAGUCCCAACUCAAGUGUUGAAGCUUUCAAAGCAGGCGGAGAUUCAGUGUAAUCCUGUCUGUUUCAGCAGCGCUAAAGCCUUAAAAUCUCUCUUUUUUUUUGGACCUGACAGCCUCCAACAAGCCCACCUUCUAAUUACAGCCGCUCUGCUCCAUUCACUCCGCCAUCUGCAGAGCCCAUCUAACCUCAUCAUUUCAGGCUGCCUUUACUCAGCACAGCCUUUCAAGGGGGUCACAGCUCAUUGCCCUGACCCCGCACAGCGCCGUGCUCAGCAUUUCAUGAAUCUAACAUGAUCCCUGGACAGGUGCUGAGCUACAUAACGGCUUGUGGGCUGGCAGGAGGAAAAACAAACUGGGAUUAGAGCUAACACAACUCUCCCAUCGCUGACAGCAAAGUCAUUUAACGAAGCUUAAGGGGAGUUAAUUUCUCCUGACGGAAAAGGCAUGAAUGAAGGAAAAAAAAAAAGCAGACUUUGAGAAGGAAAACAGCUGAGCGGUAAAACAGGUGGGUGGGAUUAGGGCAGAGAAGCUGGAGGCAAAGGUCUGGGCUCCAGAUCAGCCCUCUGCCAAGCAAAGAAACAUGAGCACUCAGUACCCAAGAGGAGUGGGUAAAAGCAGUGGCACAAAGCUGCACUUCCUCCCCAUGCACCCCAGGCUGAUCUGUGCGGUGCCUCCAAUGCAACGUGAGCUCUAAUUCUCCCCCAGAACCACACAGUCAAGGGCUCUCCCCUCUCCUCAGCUGCUGUUUUCCCACAAAUCCUCAGGAAUGCAAUCACAACCUUUAUGCUCCCGCUAUGCAUGGGCCAAACCAGCAGCGAACAAUGGAGCUGCAGACCUGAACCCCCCAGGGCAGCUCUGUGGCACACAUAGGAAAGCUUGCAGGGGCUCACAGCCCUCAGCUCACGCAGGGGCAAUAUUCAGAGCUGAACUCAAGCUAAUCCUGCAGCAACAACACCCCCCAGAGCCCCCGCGUGGCAGCGGGUGCACUGGGACUAAUAAUGAUACGUAUCAGCAUG